rnacentral:RNase_P_RNA from 1 species
GAGGAAAGUCCGGGCAUCGACGGGCAGGAUGGUCUCUAACGGAGACUGGGGGUAACCCUAAGGAAAGUGCAACAGAAAAUAUACCGCCGCCCGCCUCUGGCGGCACUCAGGCAGAAACGAAAGUUUCUGCCGGUAAGGGUGAAAUGGUGAGGUAAGAGCUCACCAGUCCCGUGGUGACACGGGAGCUUGGCAAACCCCAUCCGAUGCAAGGCCAAAAAGGGGGCUGCCGGAAAUGGCAGCGAGGAUUGCCCAUCCUUUAACCCGGGUAGGCCGCAAGAGGUCCAGGGCAACCGGGACCCAAAGAGAAAUGGUCACCGUCCCGCCACAGGCGGGAAACAGAACCCGGCUUA